CGAGAACCAGGUCCACGACCAGGACGAGUUUUAGCUCGCGCGUUGUGUGCGCAUGCGCAGAUGGCCUGUCACGGUCACGCUACUGUCAAAACUGGUCGCCCUCGAGUGGGCGACGACAAGUUUACACAGCAAAGUGGUACUCACGGGACCAGUUUGUUCAAGUACAAAAUGUCUGAGGAUAAAAAAAAGUGGCGGAAAAAAGAGAGCUCUUUAUAUGGAAAUUUGACAGCGAUGUCUCACUUCUGGAAGAGGUUAUUGCGGAGGAGCCUCACAAGCAUCCUUACGUAUCAAAAGAGAGAGGACAGAAGUGGGACAAAAUCGCCCUCAAUUUAAAAGAAAACCAUGGGUGUAAGGUCACUCAAAGGUCGAUGAGAAAGAGGUUUAAUAGUCUGCAUGAAGACUUU